rnacentral:rRNA from 1 species
GGGCCCGCACAAGCGGUGGAGUAUGUGGUUUAAUUCGAUGCAACGCGAAGAACCUUACCAGGGUUUGACAUCCUGCGAAUCUCUUGGAAACAGGAGAGUGCCUUCGGGAACGCAGUGACAGGUGGUGCAUGGCUGUCGUCAGCUCGUGUCGUGAGAUGUUGGGUUAAGUCCCGCAACGAGCGCAACCCACGUCUUUAGUUGCCAGCAUUUAGUUGGGCACUCUAGAGAGACUGCCGGUGAUAAACCGGAGGAAGGUGUGGAUGACGUCAAGUCAUCAUGCCCCUUACAUCCUGGGCUACACACGUACUACAAUGCUACGGACAAAGGGAAGCAAUAGGGCAACCUGGAGCAAAUCCCAAAAAGCCGUCUCAGUUCGGAUUGUUCUCUGCAACUCGAGAGCAUGAAGUUGGAAUCGCUAGUAAUCG